CAUAGUCUAAUAACCACAGUUCGUUGCCCCUAAAUCAUCACAACAUAACCAGUUUACUCAUGUCAUCGCCCCUAAAUCAACAAAAACAACCAGUGUAUUAUUGUAAAUAAUUAUAUCUUAUGAUUUCUCAGCAAUGGUAAGACAUUUUUAAGACUCUAACCUUCGUAAGAAGGUAUGAUGUAUACGAACUGAUCGACCGGGCUUCACAACAAAAACAUGGCCACAUGAGUUGGAUUAUUCCGUCCUGAGAAACGCUUUACAGCGAUUAUGUCCCUCAUGUAAUAUUAUCGUGAACAUUAAUCAACAUGUCUGCAAGUGUGGCUAUAGGCUUUUUUAUGUCAAACGUAAAGCUCAGCCGGAAAGCCAGGCUCAGGCAAAUAUCAAGAGAUCAGAAAAGAAAAAACAUAUACCUGUUGUACAUGAUGAGUUGCAUAAAAGUGUGCAAGAUUUACAACACCAAAAGAAAUUGAAGGAGAUUGACGAGGAGAUAACAAGGCUUCGAGCAAUUUAUGAUUCCCAAAAUAACAACCCAAAAAGGCGGACAAUUAUGUACACUGGCACUUCGUCUAGAAAAAAGCAGAGCUUUAGGCACACCAUCAAAUCCUUUCCCUUGCAGUCAUGAAGUAAUGAAGCCUCCAGUUUCUGUUGUAGACGUUAUACCCCAAAAUAUCAAUGCCGCUGCCGAACUUGCUGCAGAAAUAAAAAAAAUCCAAGAAUCGCAAGUGAAGAUUUCUCAAUGGCAGCAAAGAAGAAUGAAGGCUGAAAUUUCUUGGAAAGAAAGUCGGUCAG